CAGCACCUCAAGUGGUAAGGAUGAUUAUUGGGCCUAAAGCAUCCGUAGCCGGCGCUGUAAGUUUUCGGUUAAAUCUGUACGCUCAACGUACAGGCUGCCGGGAAUACUGCAGCGCUAGGGAGUGGGAGAGGUAGACGGUACUCGGUAGGAAGGGGUAAAAUCCUUUGAUCUAUUGAUGACCACCUGUGGCGAAGGCGGUCUACCAGAACACGUCCGACGGUGAGGGAUGAAAGCUGGGGGAGCAAACCGGAUUAGAUACCCGAGUAGUCC
rnacentral:rRNA from 1 species